rnacentral:rRNA from 1 species
AUGAACGCUAGCUACAGGCUUAACACAUGCAAGUCGAGGGGCAGCAUGACGAUAGCUUGCUAUUGUUGAUGGCGACCGGCGCACGGGUGAGUAACGCGUAUCCAACCUUCCCAUAGCUAGGGAAUAACCUUGCGAAAGUAAGACUAAUGCCCUAUAACAUUCUUUGCAGACAUCUAAAGAGAAUUAAAGAUUUAUCGGCUAUGGAUGGGGAUGCGUCUGAUUAGGUUGUUGGCGGGGUAACGGCCCACCAAGCCUACGAUCAGUAGGGGUUCUGAGAGGAAGGUCCCCCACAUUGGAACUGAGACACGGUCCAAACUCCUACGGGAGGCAGCAGUGAGGAAUAUUGGUCAAUGGACGGAAGUCUGAACCAGCCAAGUAGCGUGCAGGACGACGGCCCUAUGGGUUGUAAACUGCUUUUAUAUGGGAAUAAAGUGAGCGACGUGUCGUUUUUUGUAGGUACCAUAUGAAUAAGGACCGGCUAAUUCCGUGCCAGCAGCCGCGGUAAUACGGAAGGUCCAGGCGUUAUCCGGAUUUAUUGGGUUUAAAGGGAGCGUAGGCCGUUUUUUAAGCGUGUUGUGAAAUACUGUCGCUCAACGACAGAGGUGCAGCGCGAACUGGAGGACUUGAGUGCGCGGAAUGUAGGCGGAAUUCGUCGUGUAGCGGUGAAAUGCUUAGAUAUGACGAAGAACUCCGAUUGCGAAGGCAGCUUACAGUAGCGUAACUGACGCUGAAGCUCGAAAGUGCGGGUAUCGAACAGGAUUAGAUACCCUGGUAGUCCGCACGGUAAACGAUGGAUGCCCGCUGUUGGUCUGAAUAGGUCAGCGGCCAAGCGAAAGCAUUAAGCAUCCCACCUGGGGAGUACGCCGGCAACGGUGAAACUCAAAGGAAUUGACGGGGGCCCGCACAAGCGGAGGAACAUGUGGUUUAAUUCGAUGAUACGCGAGGAACCUUACCCGGGCUUAAAUUGCACUCGAAUGAUCCGGAAACGGUUCAGCUAGCAAUAGCGAGUGUGAAGGUGCUGCAUGGUUGUCGUCAGCUCGUGCCGUGAGGUGUCGGCUUAAGUGCCAUAACGAGCGCAACCCCUCUCCGUAGUUGCCAUCAGGUAAUGCUGGGCACUCUGCGGACACUGCCGCCGUAAGGUGUGAGGAAGGUGGGGAUGACGUCAAAUCAGCACGGCCCUUACGUCCGGGGCUACACACGUGUUACAAUGGGUCAUACAGAGUGUUGUGCGUAUGCAAAUACGUUCUAAUCAUUAAAAUGAUCCUCAGUUCGGAUUGGGGUCUGCAACCCGACCCCAUGAAGCUGGAUUCGCUAGUAAUCGCGCAUCAGCCAUGGCGCGGUGAAUACGUUCCCGGGCCUUGUACACACCGCCCGUCAAGCCAUGAAAGCCGGGGGCACCUAAAGUCCGUGACCGCGAGGGUCGGCCUAGGGUGAAACUGGUGAUUGGGGCU